UCCCCCUCGAUUUGAUCAAAGAACUUUAAGUAAUUUCUCAGUUUGCUUCUCUAUCUCACUUCUGAAUUUUUUGAACUUUUCAAAGGCUUCAAAUUUGUGUCUCAUAAGAAACACAUAUCGUACCAUGAAAAAUCAUUGAUAAAGGUGAUGAAAUAGAGAUAACCUCCUCUGACUGGCACAUCAAAUGGGCUGCGCACAUCAUUAUGUACCAAAGUCAGUACCUUAGUGGUCCUUUCUCUAUAUCC
rnacentral:lncRNA from 1 species